rnacentral:rRNA from 1 species
CAGUAGCCGCGGGAAUACGGAGGGUGCAAGCGUUAAUCGGAAUUACUGGGCGUAAAGCGCACGCAGGCGGUCUGUCAAGUCAGAUGUGAAAUCCCCGGGCUUAACCUGGGAACUGCAUUUGAAACUGGCAGGCUAGAGUCUUGUAGAGGGGGGUAGAAUUCCAGGUGUAGCGGUGAAAUGCGUAGAGAUCUGGAGGAAUACCGGUGGCGAAGGCGGCCCCCUGGACAAAGACUGACGCUCAUGCACGAAAGCGUGGGGAGCAAACAGGAUUAGAUACCCGUGUAGUCCCUGUCUCUUAUAC